CCAAAGUUUUACCAAGCUAUGAAAACAAAGACAUCUUGGAAGUGAAGAAAAGAGGAGGAUGGGAGCAGACAGCACUGAAGCUCCUUCAUUGCACAUGGAGCCACAUUAAUUACCUAUUCUUGCCUUCCUUCCCCCUCACCACACAAAUGAAGAGGCUCAUCCUGUUUUACUCAUCAUGAAUGACAGCAAAGGUGUGAUCCAUUUGUUCUAAUUUAGUCACCAUCUCCCCAGGAUCUGAGGCAGGCACCCUCAGCUCUGUUUAUUAUCAGCAGAGAGAAACAGGUACCCCCAGAGAGCAAUUUGUCUUAUCCCAAAAUGGGGGUGUCUAGAACAGGUCACAAAAAUCACACUCUGGAGAUUUUUGGGGGCAUUAAGGGAGUCUGAGGUGACUGGCUCAAACUUGGGUGCAUAACUUUUGGACAUCCCACUCAGAAUGUCCACAAGAGCUGCUCAAGUGGUGCAAUAAUUCUCACUGCAGGCUGACACAAUCUGAAUGGGACCAGCAUCUCCCAGCCCAGAUAAAGUCUGGCCUGGACAGUCAUAGUUAGCAACCGUGCAUUUGAUGCCUGACAUGAACCAGGAGAUAAUGGUGGGAUUGCAGCUUUGAGAGCCACCAGGUGAACUCCACCCAGCCAUCAUUAAUCAAACACACUCUGCUUCCACAUCCCAAAUUUUUGGGCCUCCAGGCAUGAGGCAGCAAUGCUCAAAUGUGCAGCUGAGCAUCUCUUUUUUCUGGAGCAGCAAGUUCCUUAUUGCUAGUGACAGUAAAUUAGUUACUAUGGAUUCCCAAACCCCUGGUGAUCCCAGUCUAAUCAUUAACCUUCCUGCAAGGUGGGAAGGCUCCCUAUCAAAAUGAAUCAAUUUUAAAUAUGGAGCCUCACUUAUAUAAAAAAAAAAAAAAAAAAAAAAAAAAAAAAAAAAAAAAGAAUUCUUAAAGUUUGUCAUGGUUACUCAGAGGAUUGAUUUGAGGUACUUUUAACAAAGCAAAAAUUUUCCAACAUAAAUCCAAACACAAGACCCAGAUAUGUGAACAAUCAUCACUGCAAUGCAAUUGUCUCUCAGGGGACACUGGUACAUCCUACAGGGCACACUGCAACAGCACAGAGCAGCUCAGGACAAGAAUUAACUAAACACACCCAGCUGCUGACACUCCUUCCCAAGAAACUCUGGUUUCUAUACUACUGGCAGAGAGGCCUUAAGUGAAAAGAUAAAUUAACAAACUUCCAACAAACUCAAAAAGAAGAAAGAACAAAGGUGGUUCUUCUGUCUGUACCUCCAGAAAUCUGUCUGUAUCUGUCCCACCCUGGAGUUCUUCUCUCCUGCAAUCCUGCUGCCAUCCUAAUCACUUUUGAAUAUCACAGUUGCUUCUUUUACUGUUUUAUUAAAUCCAAACUCUUCACACUUCAGGUGUUGGAGGUACUGAACAUAAAUUAUGUUCUGCCCUGGGAAGGGACUCUACUCUCAGCAGCAUGGAUUUUCUUUCCUUAGAAAUCUGGCUUGAGUUAAUUCAAUGUGACACCAUCACCUUCCUCCCCAGCAAACAAACAAUUACCCUGUUGUGAACUGUUAUAUAUGUGAUUCCUGCUAAUUAAAGUUUGUAUCUAUGUAACUAAUAUAUUUUGAUUGUAUUCAUUUAUAUACAAUUGCUGUUAUUAAUAAAUUGCUGCUAAAUUUAA